UGGGGAAUAUUGGACAAUGGGGGCAACCCUGAUCCAGCCAUGCCGCGUGAGUGAAGAAGGCCUUCGGGUUGUAAAGCUCUUUCGGACGGGACGAAAUGGUUAGCGUGAAUAACGCUGACUGAUGACGGUACCGUAAUAAGAAGCACCGGCUAACUACGUGCCAGCAGCCGCGGUAAUACGUAGGGUGCGAGCGUUAAUCGGAAUUACUGGGCGUAAAGCGCACGUAGGCUGAUUGUUAAGUCAGGGUGAAAUCCCAGAGCUCAACUCUGGAACUGCCCUUGAUACUGGCAAUCUCGAGUCCGGAAGAGGUUAGUGGAAUUCCCAGUGUAGAGGUGAAAUUCGUAGAUAUUGGGAAGAACACCAGUGGCGAAGGCGGCUAACUGGUCCGGUACUGACGCUGAGGUGCGAAAGCGUGGGGAGCAAACAGGAUUAGAUACCCCUGUAGUCCCUGAGCGGGCUGGCAAGGCGCAU
rnacentral:rRNA from 1 species